GGCGGACGGGUGAGUAACACAUCGGAAUUUGCCCAGUCGUGGGGGAUAACGUAGGGAAACUUACGCUAAUACCGCAUACGACCUUACGGUGAAAGCGGGGGAUCGCAAGACCUCGCGCGGAUGGAUGAGCCGAUGUCGGAUUAGCUAGUUGGUGGGGUAAAGGCCUACCAAGGCGACGAUCCGUAGCUGGUCUGAGAGGAUGAUCAGCCACACUGGGACUGAGACACGGCCCAGACUCCUACGGGAGGCAGCAGUGGGGAAUAUUGGACAAUGGGGGCAACCCUGAUCCAGCAAUGCCGCGUGUGUGAAGAAGGCC
rnacentral:rRNA from 1 species